UACGGAGGGGCGUAGCGUUGCUCGGAAUUAACUGGGCGGUAAAGGGACGCGUAGGCGGACAGUUUAGUCAGAGGUGAAAGACCCCACGGGCGUCAACCUUGGAAUAAGCCUUUGAUACUGACUGUCUUGAGUACGGGAGAGGUGUGUGGAACUCCGAGUGUAGAGGUGAAAUUCGUAGAUAUUCGGAAGAACACCAGUGGCGAAGGCGACACACUGGCCCGUUACUGACGCUGAGGCGCGAAAGCGUGGGGAGCAAACAGGAUUAGAUACCCGCGUAGU
rnacentral:rRNA from 1 species